CUGGAUAGGAGGGCCU
rnacentral:tRNA from 3 species